ACGGGGUGCAGCAGGCGCGAAACCUUUGCAAUGUGCGCAAGCACGACAAGGUUAAUCCGAGUGUUUCCUGCUAAAGGAAUCUUUUGUUAGUCGUAAAACCACUGAUGAAUAAGGGGUGGGCAAGUUCUGGUGUCAGCCGCCGCGGUAAAACCAGCACCUUAAGUGGUCAGGAGGAUUAUUGGGCCUAAAGCAUCCGUAGCCGGCUCUGCAAGUUUUCGGUUAAAUCCAUUUGCUUAACAAAUGGGCUGCCGAAAAUACUACAUAGCUAGGGAGUGGGAGAGGUAGACGGUAUUCGGUAGGAAGGGGUAAAAUCCUUUGAUCUAUUGAGGACCACCUAUGGCGAAGGCAGUCUACCAGAACACGUUCGACGGUGAGGGAUGAAAGCUGGGGGAGCAAACCGGAUUAGAUGCCCGGGUAGUCCCAGCUGUAAACGAUGCAGACUCGGUGAUGCACUGGCUUGUGGCCAGUGCAGUGCCGCAGGGAAGCCGUUAAGUUUGCCGCCUGGGAAGUACGUACGCAAGUAUGAAACUUAAAGGAAUUGGCGGGGGAGCAC
rnacentral:rRNA from 2 species